AACUCUCUUCCUCUGGGUCAUUUAGCUAUUUUUACAAGUAAGAAUACAUUAAUUUUCUUCUCCUGUCUUCUUUAAAAAGCCUAAUUGAUACGUCACCUUUCCCUUCAGGCUUGCUUUCCUAAAGAAGGUUCUCCUGAUCCUGAGAUUACAAAUAGUCCUUUUUUCAUUCAUCUAGAAGGGGUAUGCCACUGAGCCCAAGGAGAGUGGCAAUGACGGAGCAUGUCUUCUUGAGUCUUAGCCACCACUACAACUGGAAGCAUGGCCAUUGCUUGCUGAUGAUGUCAUUCUGUAGACAGGUGCUGGUCCAUGGAAGCCCUUUGUAAUGGUUGUUGUGAUGCUGGCAAUCAAACCAAGGGCCCUGUGCAUGCAAGAUGCAUUUUGAAAAAAAGUUACUGGAUUUUGAUUAAAAGAACCUGGAAGUUUAGGCAUUCACAAGGUAUAAUAGCAUGUUGAAAGCCCUGGGAAAUUUGGUUUAUUUUCCUUAACACAAUGCUCCCCAAAUUUAUGUAACUAUAUUAUGUUUUACUUCUACUUUGCAAAGAGUUUUUACCUUCACCAACCUAUGUUUGCUGAAUAUUUAUUGGGAAGUUCUGUUCCAGAAGAUGUAAUUAAACAAAAUCAGAUGCCUUGGCCUGCAUCAG